AUUUACUUAGUUUUCUGAGACAGAGUCUCGCUCUGUCUUCCAGGCUGGAGUGCAGUGGCACAAUCUCAGCUCACUAAAACUUCUGCCUCUCAGGUUCAAGUAAUUCUCCUGCCUCAGCCUUCCGUGUAGCUGGGACUACAAGCACGCACCACCAUGCCUGGGAAAUUUGGACACAGACUGACAGGCACAUGGGAGAAUGCCAUAUGAAGAUGAAGACAGUGAUCAGGGUGAUGAAUCUACAAGCCAAGGAAUGCCAAAGAUUGCCAGCGAACCACAAGAAGCGAGGCAAGAGGCAUGGAACAGACUCUUUCUCACAGCCCUCAGAAAGAACCAACCCUGCCAACACUUUGAUCUCAUACUUCUAUCCUCCAGAACUGUGAGACAAUAAAUUUCUGGUGUUUAAGCCACUCAGUUUGUGUUACUUUGUUAUGGCAGCCCUAGGAAGCUAAUACAG
rnacentral:lncRNA from 10 species